rnacentral:tRNA from 1 species
GGGGGUGUAGCCAAGCCAGGUUAGGUGCCGGACUGGAAAUCCGGAGACGCGGGUUCAAAUCCCGCCACCCCCUCCA